rnacentral:rRNA from 1 species
AGAGUUUGAUCCUGGCUCAGGAUGAACGCUGGCGGCGUGCUUAACACAUGCAAGUCGAACGGAGUUUUAAACGGAAGUUUUCGGAUGGAAGUUUAAGAACUUAGUGGCGGACGGGUGAGUAACGCGUGGGUAACCUGCCUCAUACAGGGGGAUAACAGUUAGAAAUGACUGCUAACACCGCAUAAUAUAGUGAAACCGCAUGAUUUUGCUAUCAAAUAUUUAUAGGUAUGAGAUGGGCCCGCGUCUGAUUAGCUAGUUGGUGGGGUAAAAGCCUACCAAGGCGACGAUCAGUAGCCGGCUUGAGAGAGUGACCGGCCACAUUGGGACUGAGACACGGCCCAAACCCCUACGGGAGGCAGCAGGUGGGGAAUAUUGGACAAUGGGGGAAACCCUGAUCCAGCGACGCCCGCGUGAGUGAAGAAGUAUUUCGGUAUGUAAAGCUCUAUCAGCAGGGAAGAUAAUGACAGUACCUGACUAAGAAGCCCCGGCUAACUACGUGCCAGCAGCAGC